rnacentral:rRNA from 1 species
UACGGAGGGGGCUAGCGUUGUUCGGAAUUACUGGGCGUAAAGCGCACGUAGGCGGAUUGGAAAGUUGGGGGUGAAAUCCCGGGGCUCAACCCCGGAACUGCCUUCAAAACUCCCAGUCUGGAGGUCGAGAGAGGUGAGUGGAAUUCCCAGUGUAGAGGUGAAAUUCGUAGAUAUUGGGAAGAACACCGGUGGCGAAGGCGGCUCACUGGCUCGUAUCUGACGCUCAGGCGCGACAGCGUGGGGAUCAAACAGG